rnacentral:rRNA from 1 species
UACGUAGGCAGCGAGCGUUGUUCGGAGUUACUGGGCGUAAAGGGUGUGUAGGCGGUUGUUUAAGUUUGGUGUGAAAUCUCCCGGCUCAACUGGGAGGGUGCGCCGAAUACUGAAUGACUAGAGUGCGGGAGAGGUGAGUGGAAUUCCGUGGUGUAGCGGUAGAAAUGCGUAGAUAUCGGGAGGAACACCGGUGGCGAAGGCGGUUCUCUGGGCCUGUACUGACGCUGAGGAGCGAAAGCGUGGGGAUCAAACAGG